ensembl:lncRNA
CGAAAACUCACAGUUUUCUCUGUAACCCAAGACCAACUCCUUAAGGCUUUCCUGGAGAAAUUUGAGGCUGCAGAUGUCACCCAUUACAAUACUGUACCCCAAAGUGUAAAACAUGACAUUUCCUGUUCCCACUAGGUGGCGCUGUCCCUGAUGUCAAAUAUGGCAGUUGAAAUAUGUUCAGGGGUGGAGCCUUAUCAUAUGUGUCCACUUUGGUCAAGGUCGGACAAUGUAUGACAGAACGAGAGGCAAUAAGAUUUUCAUGGCGAGUCAUCGAAAUUCGCCGUGGCGCCACGGCCUCACCGUAUCACGAAAACUCAAAAGCUCCGCAAUUUAACAUGGCCCAGGUGUGUAGUUGACACUGACCAAAUAUGAAGCUUGUACGAUGAAAUUCCAAUGAGGAGUUCGCAAAAGUUCGAGGCAUGGAAAUGGCAAAAUUAGAGCCAAAAUGUCACCUUCACUUCCAAAUGGCGGACUUCCUGUUGGGUUUGCGUCAAUGGUCCCACUGACUUUUUGUUCGUCUUGGCAUGAUACACAUGUGUGCCAAAUUUCAUACAUGUAGCUAAAACGAUGUGUUCGUGGGGCUGCAUUUAACAAGGCAUAGGUGGCGCUACAGAGCCAUUUCCCAGUGCUCAUAUGUAAAACCAUUAAAAUACAAAAUUUUUCACCAGACCUGGCAUGUGUGCAAAAUUUCAUGAGUUUUUGAGCAUGUUAAAGCCCUCAAAAAGGCAAUUCAUUUCGGUAAAAAAAUAAUAAUAAUAAUAAUAAUAAUAAUAAUAAUAAUAAUAAUAAUAAUAAUAAUAAACAGAGCAGAUACAAUAGGGCCUUCGCACUCUCAGUGCUCGGGCCCUAAUUAAAGCUGCAAGCAGCGAUACGAGGGCCCUCGCACCCCGGCGCGUCGAGCCAAGCCCAACACCUAAAACCAGCAUGUUCGAUCUGAUGUCACAUUGAUGGAAUUCAUGCCUAGAACCACCAGCUAACUAUUCAUCUCAUUCAAUCAUUAUUAUAGUCGUCCCACUAGGUGGCGCUCUAACCAUUACUGACAAAUGGCAUAACAAACAUUUCCGAGCUCGAGUCUCAUCAUGCCUGCGACCUUUGGGAGAGAUUGGACAUUGUGUUUUUGAGCGACAGCAGGUUACUGCUUUUUGGCGAGUGAUUGAAACUCCACGUGCCGCCAUGACCACCUCGUUUCCCUGAACGUAAAACGCUUCGCAAUUUAACAUCACAAAGGUCUUUAGAUU